UCUCUCUGCUUGGCAUUCCCAAGAUGGCCGCUUCUAUCGAGCAACGAAUCGAUUUUGUAUCCAAGCCCAGUUUGAUAUACCAAAUUAAAGCGACUCCAUAAAGAGGGGUGGUGGUAGUCUCGAACGGGAUCGAUGCAAACCUUAACAUCGAGGUCGCUCGUAGUUUUCGUCUUUUUUUCUCCCCUUCCUCAAAGAGCAUUUGACGGAAACUCGACGACGAAUUGAUAUUCGAGAAAGGAAAGAUAUAGAGUGGAGAUGGAGAGGUCAUUCUUCGUUCGUGACGAUCGUGAGACGAGUACAUCGAUGACCGUUUGCGUGGAAGUGCCGAUGAUAACUGUGUUGGUGACGUCGGUGACAAGUUGUUAACCGUGAUGACUGUGAUAGUGGUGCUUUUCUGUGGUGCUUCGAACGAUACGGGGUGGAGCAGAGAAGUUGCAAUUGGGGUGGAUGGGAACGCGUUGUCGGCUCGCCCUCUCUCUGUACUUUGCUUCAGGGCAUGGACGCUAGGUGGCGAAUCUUUCAUCGAUAAGAACAGAGAGAGAGAGAGAGAGAGAGAGAGAGAGAACACAGGCAUGCUAGGAGGAACGAGUGGAAAGCUAGCUAGCUACCUUCUAUUUAUCUCGAGGAAUAUCAAAAGCAGAGAAGACGAAAAGGAACGACCCAACGAACGCGGAAACGAAUCAACGAGAGAGAAAAAGGAAGAACGUGGAAGAGAAUGCCGAUCGAGCUCGUUGUGAAAAAUAUAUAUAUAUAAAAAAAAAAAGAGAAAAAGGUCCGCCAUAUUUAUUCGCGUGAGAGACCUUAGACAGAGAACCCCAUAGAUGUUGUAGAUCGUAGAGUACAUGCUGCCACAUGCAGAUGUCGUUGUUGUGUAGGCAUUACUAUAGAUUUUAGAUAAUACUUUUGGACAUUUUCUAAUAUUAGCACUUUUGUCCGAGUAUCAGCGCCGAUUCCCUCAUUUCUCUUUUACCUUUCUUUACUUUCUUCUUCCAAUUACGCGAAUCGUCGUAGAAACCGAUUUUCCCGAAAAGAAGUUUCUUCUCGAUCGUAGAGAAAAAGAAAAAGAAACAAGAGAAUUCAUAGCAUCGCGAUAUAAAACGCUACACGUAAAGUUGACGGCGUUUUCCGGCGGGCUGAGAAGCCGCGAUCGAUAUAAUAUAUGUAUUUGCGGCAAAGCAGGUUGCAUGCGUUGCACGUCGCAGUGGCAGCUGUAAUCAAGCUAUGUUCACACGUACACGUUAACCGUAUAAACGUUUAUAUAAGCACCAUUACCUUAUGUGUACCUAUUUAGAUAUGCACACGUAGAAUUUAGAUAUGUAUAUAUUUCGAGUUGAGUCGAAUCCGAGAUUCAAAGAGUACUCGCGUAUUAGAUAUCUAUAUGGUAUAUGUAUUAUUAAACGUUGCUCGUGUAAACUUUCGUCGAGUCGUUGCGUGUAGGAAGAAUUCGAUCGAUGAAAAAGAACGAAACUCGAUAGAACUUUGAAAUCCAAUAGAAACUGUAUGAAUUAUAACGAUCACGUUGUGCGCCGAAGAAAAAUGGAAAGUCAAUGAAUAAUAAAUCAAAUUUCAAGGAAAUAAAACCAACAGAAAA